rnacentral:lncRNA from 1 species
AUAUAUAUAAAUAUAUAUAUGCAUGCAUACAACUAUAUAUAUGCAUUUACAUAUAUGUGUAUGUACAUGCAGAUAUUUGCUUGUCUGUGUGUUUGUAUAUGACUGCUGUAUGUGUUGCGGAUUUUGUGUAUGUGUGUGUUUUUCAUAUUCAAGCGACCGUUUUAUAAUCAUUGAUCUGAAUCAAAAUUAUUUUGCAAAAUUAUGUCCUUUUUUUCUGUUCCGUUCCAUCAUUAAUGAAGCCAUUCAAUGGCUCUUGUUUAUUUUGGGCUACAUGUUCACUGUUUUUGGGGUACAUGUCCUUUGUUUUACUAGUUAACUAUAAGCAACUAAAAUAACACUAGAUGCACAUGAUUCUGUGAAGUUCAUGAAUACAUGGUGAUUAUUUACUGAGGUCUUUUGUUAACAGGUUAUGAGAAAUCCAUGAACAGUCACAUGAUGUUUCUUGUUAACUAAAUAUCAGACAUUCAUGAACAUUCACUGAUCUCUUCUGUUAACUGACUGUGACACGGUCAUCAACGUUCAUUGAUGUCCUGUGUUAAUGGACUGUGAGAGAUGCAUGAACACUCACUGGUGUUUCCUGUUAACUGAUAACCAGGCAUUUAUGAACACUCAUUGAUUCCUCUUGUUAACUGACUGUCACUCAUCCAUCAAUGUUCACUGAUGUCUUUGUUAACUGACUGUCAGACAUUCAUCAAUGUUCACUGAUGUCCUUUGUUAACUGACUCUCAGAUAUUGAAGAACACUCACUGAUGUCUCCUGUUAACUGUUGGUUAUUUAGUUAAUAGUUUACUUAUGUCAACUGGUAAUUUUUGUCUUUCAAAUUACUUGGUGGACAGUCUUGUACAGCCCCUUGUUAACUGACCGUUUACUCACAGAUGGCGAAUAGUAGCCUGUAAUAUAUCUGUGUUAAGGUUGCAUUAGUUGGUAGAAAACUGAAACUAGAGUCUCCAUGGCUUCCAGUUUGAUGUCUCAACAUUCUGUGUUCAAAUCAAAUCAAGGCUGAUUUUGCCUUUUAAAUCCUACAGGGUUAUGACAGCUGAACCACUUAACUAUAACCCCUCCCUGCAAAAAAAUAGGGGGCAUUUGUUCCAAACAAAGAAAUCUUUUGAUUUUCUGCUGUAUUCUUGGUUCUAAUUUGGAACCAUUUCUCUUGACAUUGCUAAAGUUCCUGGGAAAAGAGUGAAUGUCACAACUUCUCUUAAGAAUAACUUUCAGCCCAAUUCCUUUUAAAAAAAGAAACCCCUAUUUUUUACUAAAUUAUUCUGUAAACUGUAAAAUGUUUCCUAUUUUGCAACAAUAUUGUACCCCAUCUCAUCCCCACUUCCCCUUCAAGCUCUCUCACAGGCACACAUCUUUGUGUCUGGAUUUUACUCCCUUUUUUAUCUGCUGAGGUGACCCUAAAAAUGGUGUCACCAUUGCUGCUUCUCAUAGCUUGAAAUUAAGCUUUUUAUCUGUGAUUUAUCAAAGUGAAAUUCUUUGUCUUGUUUAUUUUUCUCUAUUAUUAUUAUUAUUAUUAUUAUUAUUAUUAUGAGGAUGGUGGAUUGGCAGAAUCAUCAGAGCACCAGACAAAAUGCCUUGCAGUAUUUGUUCCAAGCUUUUACAUUCUGAGUUCAAAUCCUGCCAGGGCCAACUUUGCCUUUCAUCUCUCCAGAGUUGAUGAAAUAAAGUACCAGAUUGACCCCCAUCCCCUAAAAAUGUUUGGCACUGAGCCUGAGUCAGAAAUUAUUAUUAUUAUUAUUAUUAUCAUUGUUAUUAUUAUUGUUAUUAUUAUUAUUAUUGUUAUUAUUAUUAUUAUUAUUAUUAUUAUUAUUAUUAUUGUGAAGUGGCAGGGGGUUCCUUUCUCCUUUUAACUUAUGAAUGCUUUUAAUUAAUAUUUCCAAAUAAUUGAAAUUAAUUAAUCAGGUGAAUCACAUUAUCAAAAACACACACAACACAGAAAAAUCAUAAACAACAUUCCUUCUUUCCUUCCUUCCUUUCUUCUAUCUAAUCAGAUAAUGUUUAUAUCUGUUUAAUAAUGAGUUUAUCACUAAACCAACCAGAAAUAUUUAUUUUAAAUGGGAUGAUAUUACAAAAUGAAAAUCAAAACAAAUUUGUUUUUUAUCACAAAAAAUUUUUAAAAAAAGGAAAAAAGGAAACUCAUUUCUCGUAGAAUAGAAGAGAGACACAAAUAUCUGGCCAUUCUUUGGUGGAAAUAAACUUCUAAAGUGUCUGAGAAUCCUCUGAAAUAAUUUUCAAGUGGAAAGUUUUGAAUAAAUACCUGAUCCUUGCUGAUAACUAUUUUAAUAUAUUUACAACAUACGACGGGCGAGCUGGCGGAAUAGUUAGCACAGUGGACAAAAUGCUCAGUGGUAUUUCAUCUGUCUUCACAUGCUGAGUUCAAAUUCUGCCAAGGCUGACUUUGCCUUUCAUCCUUCCGGGAUCGAUAAAAUAAGUACCAGUUUGAGUACUGGGGUCAGUGUAAUCGACUUACCCUACCCACCCCCAAAAUUGCUGGCCUUGUGCCAAAAUUUUAAAUCAAUAUAUUUUUACCACAUGGAGGACACAUGUUAUCCAUUCAAAAGUACCCAAAGACUGUUUUCUUCACUUAAGCAUUCACCAUUUGGUGUUAAAAUUUUCAUUUCACAAACUGCAGAGUGGAACCACAUCAGUGACCAAGUUGUAGUUGGUGUGAUGAAAACUUUGACACCCAAUGGUGAUUGCUUAAGUGAAGUUAAGUCUUUGUGUGUUUUUGAAUGGCUUAACAUAUAUCUUCUUUGCUGAAAUUAUUUUAAUUUCAACGGACUGUCUCAGAUAAAAUCACAUACCUAGCAAGUACACCUCCAUUUAAAGAUAUUUAUGUUGUAAAUAUAAUAAUUUUAAAUAGAGUUAAUAUUAGUUAUAAUGAAUUUAUUUAAAAACCGUUUGUAUUAGUAUUGGUAUAUUAAUUAAUAUGUUUAUUAAAGAAGUAAUUGAAUAAAAUAGACUGAAAUAAAGAUGGUUAAUUUAUUACAAUACAAAGAAGAAGAGAAUAACUUAUGGGUUCCUGGUGAGAUGAUUAUUUCCCUUGUCAUUAAAAAUGACCAACCAAUCAACUGAGAGAUUACAUUAAGUCAAACGAAUAUGUUGUUUAUCACCAGCUCAGCUCUAAGACAUUCCAAACUCAAAGACACUCCAAACAUGACCAGCCCACCAUUUUUUAUAGUUAGAAUUACAUUGUCCAAUAUAUCCUUCCUUUUUAUUUAACCCUUUAGUAUUUAAACCAGCCAUAUCCGGCCGAAAUAUUUAAUCUGUUUUAUGUUCAAACUGACCAGAUCCAGGCCCUCACACCUACCCUACAAUGUUAUUCUACAUUAAGUAAUUACACCAUCAAGAUCUUAAAGAUAUGAGAUAAUGCAUGAUUAAUUCAAAUCAAUGUGAAUCGAUAGGCAUUAUGUUUGAUAGAAUAAUCUGAACACUAAAGGGUUAAAACAGUGAGCGUGCAGAGGAUUUUGCUCUUAUUCUUAGUAAGUUGAAGACUUUUUUAUUGGCUCAGAUUAGGGAGAAAGUUGUUUUGUUUGGUGUUUGACAGAGUCAUGUGUUGGCACCAUGGAGUGUUCAGUGAUUGGUACACUACAAUACUAGUGUGUAGCUAUAUAUAUCAUUGCUACUACAAACAUACUAUGUUAUAGAACUGGUUUGUAAUAGAAUUAGCAUGUGAUAGUACUAGAGUACUAUGUAUAAUAAUACACCAAUACUAUUACAUACAUGGUACUAGUGUGAGUGUGAUGGGACUUUUGUGUGAUAGCACUUGUGUGUGAUAGUAUUGGUGUGUGUUAGUAUUGCAACACACAUAGAACAGGUGUGUUGUUGUGCUGUCUUCAGUAAACUUGCUUGGAUAAAUCUUUUAAUUUAAAGGGAAAAAACAACUUGUCUGAGAUUGUCAAUGCUUGCCACAAUUGUUUUGAGAAAAUUCUGGAUUUAAAAUGAAGAUCUGUCAACAUAUCAAAUAUUUUUGACAGAAAAAACAAGAAACAAUUAAUGUUAUGUUAAUAUAUUUUUAAAUCAAUAUUGUACAUUGUUAAGGGCAGACUGUUUCAAAUAGUGCUAUGUCUUGUUAUGAGUAGAUUAUGUUUAAAAACAAUCUCUGUUAACAUCUCAUGAAGAGUAGCCAAUAUUUUAAAACAAGUCUCUGUAUCAUUAAGGGUAGGUAGCUUGUCUUUGAAAGUCUCAACAACUUUAUUGUUCAUAUUUUUCAAGCAAUGCUUUGAUACCUGCUCUUAGGUUUCUGUAAACUAGACAAAGAAAGGAUUCGGAUUCAUGCGAGCAAAUCAAAACUUCAGAGGUUUUGAUCAGCAAAACAACCACUUUUCAGGAAAUAUUUCCUCAAUUUUAAUUUCAAGGGAAAAGAAAAUUUUUAUUCCAGUGACUGUUUUAUAUAUAUAUAUAUAUAUAUAUAUAUAUAUAUAUAUAUAUAUAUAUAUAUAUAUAUAUAUAUAUUUUUUUUUUUCUUAAUUGAAACUUCAAUAUUUUCUUUAUUUUAAGGCAGCAAGCUGGCAGAAACAUUAGCAUGCCGGAUGAAAUGCUUAGUAUUAUUUCAUCUGUCUUUACGGUCUGAGUUCAAAUUCUGCUGGGGUUGACUUUGCCUUUCAUCCUUUCAGGGUCGAUAAAUUAAGUACCAGUUAUGCACUGGUGACGAUCUAAUCGACUGCCGCCCCUACCUAAAACUUUCAGGCCUUGUGCCUAGAGUAGAAAAGAAUAUUUCCUUUUAUUUUCCAACCUCAUGCAUUUCGUGAGAAAUUCAAUUUUUCUUUGUAUUUUUCUUUGAUGUAUUGAAGAAUUAUUUAGCUUUUUAUGAAUUAUGAAAUUUUAAAGCUUUAAACGUUUUGUGAAUGAAUGAAAGACUAUUCAGUUAUUUCUUGUCUUAAAAUAAGUGUGACCAGAAUGGCCGGGGGGUGGGGGUGUCUUUGAGUUACUUUCACAAAUACAUGAAAUUUACUUGGUAUCUGCCAUGGCAUAGAAGCUGAAAGCUAGUGAUGAUAAUAACGAUGAUAAUGAUGAUGAUGAUGAUGUUGGGGAUGACGGUGACAAUGACGUGUCAAUCUACUUAACCGGAAAUAUUUUCCAUGAGUAGAUUUACAAAGAUCGAAAUGAAAAUAAAUAUUUUUUAAAGGACAAAAAAAAAAAAAGAUAUAUUUAUUCAGUUAAUUUUAUUUUAGAGUCUAAAUGGCUGUAAACUCCUGGAGGUACACUUGACUAUCAUUUUUAAAGCGUUAUUAUUUCAAAUAGGAUUGUUGAUUCAUAGAUGGCAGAGCACUAAACAAAAUACCUUGCAGUAUCUAAUUACGAUUCAUUACAUUCUGAGUUCAAAUUCUGCUGGGUUAACUAUGCUUUUCUUUCCACCAAACUUGAUUAAAAAAAGUACCAGCUGUGUACUGGGGUAAAUACAAUCAACUAUAACCCCUCCCUUUGUACCAAAAAAUUUGAAUGUAUGAAAGAACUAAUUUCGAUACAAAAACAAAACAAUACUAUUUCUCUCCUUAUCCCUUUAUCUAUCUAUAUAUAUAUAUAUAUAUAUAUAUAUAGUUUCUUAUCUUAUUUGCGACAAACUACUAAAGUUUCAUGUUAAGAGUAAGAUAUAUUGUUUAGUUAAGAUCAAACUGUUGCCUUCUUAUUCCAGCAAUCUUCAGGCUUGGAGAUAAACCUGAAGGGUUCUGAAAUAAAAAGGUAACACCUUGAUCAAUGCUAAGCCAGAUACCUUGCUUCUGAGAUGAAACUUAAGUAGUAUGUCGCAAAUAAGAUUCUGUAUAUAAAAAUAUUAACAGCUCUCAAAUGUAUUGAGUGCUUUAUUUUGGUGACCUAACAACAAACAGUACAUGAUAUAUACAUACACACACACACACUCUUAUAUAGACACAUUUGUAUACAGAAACAUAUAUAAAUAUAUACAUACAAAUAUACAUGCAUAUAUAAAUAUAUACACAU